rnacentral:rRNA from 1 species
CCUACGGGUAGCAGCAGUGAGGAAUAUUGGUCAAUGGACGAGAGUCUGAACCAGCCAAGUAGCGUGAAGGAUGACUGCCCUAUGGGUUGUAAACUUCUUUUAUAAAGGAAUAAAACGAGGCACGUGUGCCUUUUUGCAUGUACUUUAUGAAUAAGGAUCGGCUAACUCCGUGCCAGCAGCCGCGGUAAUACGGAGGAUCCGAGCGUUAUCCGGAUUUAUUGGGUUUAAAGGGAGCGUAGAUGGGUUGUUAAGUCAGUUGUGAAAGUUUGCGGCUCAACCGUAAAAUUGCAAUUGAUACUGGCAGUCGUGAGUACAGUUGAGGUAGGCGGAAUUCGUGGUGUAGCGGUGAAAUGCUUAGAUAUCACGAAGAACCCCGAUUGCGAAGGCAGCUUACUAAACUGUGACUGACAUUGAUGCUCGAAAGUGUGGGUAUCAAACAGGAUUAGAUACCCCUGUAGUC